CGGAGGGAUCAUUACGAGUUUACAACUCCCAAACCCAAUGUGAACGUUACCAAACUGUUGCCUCGGCGGGAUCUCUGCCCCGGGUGCGUCGCAGCCCCGGACCAAGGCGCCCGCCGGAGGACCAACCAAAAACUCUUUUGUAUACCCCCUCGCGGGUUUUUUAUAUCUGAGCCAUCUCGGCGCCUCUCGUAGGCGUUUCGAAAAUGAAUCAAAACUUUCAACAACGGAUCUCUUGGUUCUGGCAUCGAUGAAGAACGCAGCGAAAUGCGAUAAGUAAUGUGAAUUGCAGAAUUCAGUGAAUCAUCGAAUCUUUGAACGCACAUUGCGCCCGCCAGUAUUCUGGCGGGCAUGCCUGUCCGAGCGUCAUUUCAACCCUCGAACCCCUCCGGGGGGUCGGCGUUGGGGAUCGGCCCUUUACGGGGCCGGCCCCGAAAUACAGUGGCGGUCUCGCCGCAGCCUCUCCUGCGCAGUAGUUUGCACACUCGCAUCGGGAGCGCGGCGCGUCCAUUGCCGUAAAACACCCAACUUUCUGAAAUGUUGACCUCGGAUCAGGUAGA
rnacentral:rRNA from 1 species